rnacentral:sRNA from 1 species
AAUAGAGGAACUCAAUCUAAGGACGCCAAGGCCUGUGGCAACGACUGAGUGACCAGCAUAUGAUGU